rnacentral:tRNA from 1 species
GGAGCUGUGGCUUAGUGGGUAAAGCUGCUGCCUGCAGUGUUGGCAUGCCAUAUGGGUGCCAGGUCCAGUCUUGCCUGCUCUA